rnacentral:rRNA from 1 species
UACAGAGACUGCAAGCGUUAAUCGGAAUGACUGGGCGUAAAGCGCACGUAGGUGGUUGCGUAAGUCGGAUGUGAAAGCCCCGGGCUCAACCUGGGAACUGCAUCCAAAACUGGCGAGCUAGAGUACGGUAGAGGGUGGUGGAAUUUCCUGUGUAGCGGUGAAAUGCGUAGAUAUCGGAAGGAACAUCAGUGGCGAAGGCGACCUUCUGGACAAAGACUGACACUGAGGCACGAAAGCAUGGGGAGCAAACAGG